UGGGGUAUAGCCAAGCGGUAAGGCAGCGGGUUUUGAUCCCGCCAUCCCAGGUUCGAAUCCUGGUACCCCAG
rfam:Candidatus Baumannia cicadellinicola strain B-GSS, complete genome.